rnacentral:misc_RNA from 1 species
GAGAAAGAGGCCUACAGAAAGAGGCAGUGAGAUGUCAAAGGCUAAAUCCAUCAAUGAUACAGAUUAGGUACGUAUUCCUACAGUUAGAAGAAAAAAGGAAUAUACAUUUGUUAUUUUUAUCAGUAUUUCGUUAAAUUAUCAUUUAGUAAAAAUAUAAUAUUAUUGAAAUGAGCUAUAACAAAGACAUAAGCAAAAGAAUUCUGUUUUCAAGGUCCAUGAAACCAUUGACAGAAUUUACGUUUUUGGAAUUUACUCCUUAUUAAACUAUAAAAAGACUAUGAUAUGAAACAAAGAUAAUUUAGUGACGCUGUAUUUCAUGUAAGGCAUAACUAAUUAUAUAUAUAUAUAUAAAAAACUAAUUGCGUUUUUUGCCGGUUUUCCUCUAUAGAAUCUAUAUUUCGAAUCGGUGGUAGCAUCACUUUUGCCGAUAAUUAAAAUUGUAAUUUGUAAAAUGACGAUUCGAAGGUGCUUUUGAAGCUUGAAUAAAGUUAUUCUUCAUUUUAAUAUUACGGAUAGUGAAAUUAUGAGAAACAGUAUCGAAUCCUGCUCUGAGAGAGAUGUCUUACCACGCGAUUUCUCUUGCGAGAAAGAGAUGAAUAUAAUUUUAAAUAUCAC